rnacentral:rRNA from 1 species
CCUACGGGAGGCAGCAGUGGGGAAUAUUGCACAAUGGGGGAAACCCUGAUGCAGCGACGCCGCGUGAGUGAAGAAGUAAUUCGUUAUGUAAAGCUCUAUCAGCAGGGAAGAAAAUGACGGUACCUGAGUAAGAAGCCCCGGCUAACCACGUGCCAGCAGCCGCGGUCAUACGUAGGGGGCAAGCGUUAUCCGGAUUUACGGGGUGUAAAGGGAGCGUAGACGGCAGUGCAAGUCUGGAGUGAAAGGCGGGGGCUCAACCCCCGGACUGCUCUGGAAACUGGACGGCUGGAGUGCAGGAGAGGUAAGUGGAAUUCCUGGUGUAGCGGUGAAAUGCGUAGAGAUUAGGAGGAACACCAGUGGCGAAGGCGGCUUACUGGACUGUAACUGACGUUGAGGCUCGAAAGCGUGGGGAGCAAACAGGAUUAGAUACCCCAGUAGUC